rnacentral:rRNA from 1 species
AAUGGGGGCAACCCUGAUCCAGCCAUGCCGCGUGAGUGAUGAAGGCCUUAGGGUUGUAAAGCUCUUUCGCCGGUGACGAUGAUGACGGUAACCGGAGAAGAAGCCCCGGCUAACUUCGUGCCAGCAGCCGCGGUAAUACGAAGGGGGCUAGCGUUGUUCGGAAUGACUGGGCGUAAAGCGCACGUAGGCGGCUUGUUUAGUCAGGGGUGAAAUCCCGGGGCUUAACCCCGGAACUGCCUUUGAUACUGGCAAGCUCGAGUCCGGAAGAGGGUGGCGGAAUACCCAGUGUAGAGGUGAAAUUCGUAGAUAUUGGGUAGAACACCGGUGGCGAAGGCGGCCACCUGGUCCGGUACUGACGCUGAGGUGCGAAAGCGUGGGGAGCAAA